GCGGGCGUGGCGGAACGGUAGACGCAUCGGACUUAAACUCCGUGGGCCAUAGGCCGUGUGGGUUCGAUUCCCACCGUCCGCA
rnacentral:tRNA from 1 species